AGAGUUUGAUCAUGGCUCAGAACGAACGCUGGYGGCGUGCUUAACACAUGCAAAGUCGAAACGCGAAAAGUUUUCUUCGGGAAGACGAGUAGAGUGGCGCACGGGUGAGUAACGCGUAAGUAAUCUACCCCGGCAUCUGGAAUAACUCACCGAAAGGUGUGCUAAUACCGGAUACGUUGGUAACAAGAAAGGUGGCCUCUGCAUAUGCUACCGUGCUGGGAUGAGCUUGCGUACCAUUAGCUAGUUGGUAGGGUAAAGGCCUACCAAGGCGACGAUGGUUAGCGGGUCUGAGAGGAUGAUCAGCCACACUGGAACUGAGACACGGUCCAGACUCCUACGGGAGGCAGCAGUGGGGAAUUUUGCGCAAUGGGGGAAACCCUGACGCAGCAACGCCGCGUGAGUGAUGAAGGCUUUCGGGUCGUAAAGCUCUGUCAGAGGGGAAGAAAUGUAUGGAUGCUAAUACCAUCUUUACUUGACGGUACCCUCARAGGAAGCACCGGCUAACUCCGUGCCAGCCGCCGCGGUAAUA
rnacentral:rRNA from 1 species